UACGUAGGGUGCGAGCGUUAAUCGGAAUUACUGGGCUUAAAGGGUGCGUAGGCGGUGCGGAAAGUUGGGUGUGAAAUCCCUCGGCUCAACCGAGGAACUGCGCCCAAAACUACCGUACUUGAGGAAGAUAGAGGUGAGCGGAACUUACAGUGGAGCGGUGAAAUGCGUUGAUAUUGUAAGGAACACCCGUGGCGAAAGCGGCUCACUGGGUCUUUUCUGACGCUGAUGCACGAAAGCUAGGGGAGCAAACGGG
rnacentral:rRNA from 1 species